UGUUUGUUUACAUGACAGAUACUAAAUGAAAAAAUGUUUGGUGAAUGAUUGAAGGAAUAACUGAAAUACUGUGCAAAUCAAUGAAUAAUGGCAAUAGUAGAAGCUACUAUUCUUAGCACUUGCUCUGUGUCAGACAUGGCUAAAUAUUUUUUAUGUGUGUGUCAUUUAAGUCUUGUGUCCCUAUGAACAAAAUACUAUUUUCUUCACUUUAUAGAUAUGGGAACUAAAUUCAGAGAGAUGAAGUGACCUGUCCAAGUUCGAACAACUUGAUGAAGAAUGAGGCCACACUGCCAAAGCAAGAUCUCGUGCUAUGUGUGAUUGAAUCUCCUGCUGGGCGCCAAGCAGGAAUCUCAUCAUUUCCCCACAGGCCCUGAGAGCACACAGGCCUCAUCCCCACCCCACCACAGUGCAGUGCACUCACUGCAGAGCCAAUGAGGCCUGAGCUCAGGGUCUGCGUCUGCCUGCAUCUGCAUGGCCACUUCCAUCUGUGGUACUUGUUAGUUUAUUUUAAAUGUGCGAUUUGUUUGGUUGCAUUUUCUCCUUCUAAAUAUACAGUAGUUUUUGCAUGUAAUUAUGUAUUUUUUAAGAAGGGCUCCCAAAUUGUGCAAGCUUCAGGCCUCACAAAACUGGAUUGGCCCCUGCCAUCUAUAAGGAAAAAGGCAACUGGUUUGUGAAGUGCUGGCCUGGCUGCUCCUCCCCAGGAACCAACCAGAUAGGGAGUUUCUUAGGUGAAGCUCAGUGGUCUCUGGUCCCGAUCCACAAUGAUAAACUGGCCUGCAUCCAGCCCCACCUUUCUCCUUCCCAGUUGAAUGCAUUUUGUUCAGGCAUCUGUUGUCAUGCACACCUCAGAAGAAACUGACUCCUUUCCCUGGCCCAGGGGAGCAUCUGGUUGGCCUAUGAUCAUUUCACUCCCCUUAUUCAUAAUUGGUUAAGGGCAGAGUUUCUCAACCUCAGCACACAUGUACAUUGGCGGCUGGAUAAUUCUUUGUUGUGGGGCUGUUCUGUGUAUUAUAGAAUGUUUCACAGCAUCCCUGGCCUCUACUCAUUAAUACCAGUUGCACCUCCCCAAAUUGUGAUAAUCAAAGAUUUCUCCAGGCAUUUCCAAAUGUCCCCUAGAGGGCAAAAUCCCCGCCACAAUGUAUAUGUGGGUUGGGAACUACCAGUUUAGGGUGACCCUAAUUCUGGCCAAUGAGACUUGAAAGAAACUCUGCAGGGCCCUUCCUGGAGCAUUUCAAAGAUUCCCCAUAAUUUUCCAAUGAUGCCCAACUCCUUGCAGCAGUGAGCAAGGCUCUGCGCAGCUGGAGGGCUGGUCUGUGUCUCAGCUUUGGGCUGUUACUCACGCCGUUCCUGCUUCCUGAAAUCCUGAAAUUUUCCUUCACCUGGUCGGCUCUAGUCCUGCCAGGUUCAGAACCCAAAGCCUCUCCUCUGUGUUAUUCUGGUGUCGUGCACAUAUGCUUGUCACUGCAUUUAUUACAGUGACUGGAAUUAUUAAUUCACUGUCCUCUGUCCCCUACUAGAACAUAAGAUCCUUGAGGGCAGGAGACACACUCAUGCUGACAUCUCUAGUGUCGUCUAGUGGCUGGAACAUGGUGGAGCCUCAAUAAAUGAUAUUUGACCUGUAUUAACUUUCUGCCCCUCACUUUCUCAUUUAUAAAAGGUAGUGCUUGUACAAGGUGACCUUUGUAGAACUCUAUGACUCCACAGUCAGGGGCCAGUUCCACACAGGAUGGCAUCAGUGACAUCUU
rnacentral:lncRNA from 1 species